CACUUGGAGGAUGUAUAGCAAUAGCUACUUGCAUCAUCCUUUUCUCAUUUUAUUCUUCUCGUUUUCUUCUUUUUAAGAAGAAAAUGAGAAGAAUAAAAGUAGAGAAAAGUAAAGAUGAUGCAAGAUCGACUAUGUCGAAUAAAAUUCUAGGUAGAAUUAUGAUAUUGACAUUGUCUGCCUAUGUGUCUUGACCAAAUUACGUGCCAGCUGUCGCGGUAAUACGUAGAAGACUAGUGUUAUUCAUGUUUAAUCGGUUUAAAGGGUACCUAGACGGUAAAUCAAGCUUUCAAAGAAAAAGAAGACAAAAUUGAUAGUAUAGUGAUAAUUAAAGGACUAAUUUACUAGAGUUACUUAUGAGGGGGUAUUAAAGUACUGCUGGUGUAGAGAUGAAAUUCUGUCAUACCUCUUUUCAAAAGAAAAAUGAUGGCACAGGUAUAGGCGAAGGCAUCCCC
rnacentral:rRNA from 1 species